UCUAUGUCAUUUUGUCAUUAUAUACUACAGAUGGAAGUGAAUGUCAAACAUGCGAACUACGAUACUGGGGAUCUUGGGGAAGUUGUGAUCAGCAGUGUGGGGGAGGUAUUAGGAUAAGAUACAGAGAGGUCUGUUGUCCGGAGAUAAUAGACUACCAAACAUGUACCAGAGAAACAUGCAGAGGCAAUGUCAAUAUUAGUGAAAUAGUCAGUAAAUGACCAUGUAAUCUCGAUUGCUACAACGGUGGUGUAUAUAACGAGACAUGUGAAUGCAAACCUGGGUGGUCGGGACGAUGUUGUG
rnacentral:lncRNA from 1 species